GGAUUUUCUCGAAUCAAUCUUCUUAAUUUCUAGUUUAUUGCCUUUGUCCUCAGAGAGGUUGUGGGUGGUUCAAGCCUCUGAAAUGAGACUUAUUUUAUGGCUCAGCAUAUGGUCUGUCUGAAUGUUGUGUACUCUGAGGGUUUGGGGUUCAGAGUGGAGCGUUCCCUGGAGAGUGAAGGUCCAAGGUCCGGAGUCCUUGGGAGAGAAGAAUCUCCACUCUGCCUGAUGCCCGGAGGAGGGGAGAGGGGGCCGUCCCUGCAGGUGAGAAGGCACAGCCAGCCCCUGACUCCAGGAGCCAGACCCUAGGCCAGUUUGUCCUCCCUGUGGCCCGAGUGAGAACCGGCCUUGAACUCUACCCUGACCUCUGAGGCCAAGAGAAAAUGUCUAGGGAUUUGCUCCAGGGAGGGACGUGUCCCCAAGGAAGGGGAAGAGAGGAGCCGUGGUCCCUAAAUCCCACUCUCUCCAGCUGCGAGCAGCAGACCCUUAGCAGAGGCUCGCCCUUCCUGGCUGCUCAUCUAGGUGUGGAUUUUGAGAUUUGGCCUUGCCACUGCCCUCUGCAAAUUUGCAGAGAUGGGUGAAUGCGCAAACAUGCCUGGCCGGGCAGGGAGGAUGGCCGGGAGAGGAUGCGUGUAUCAGAAUGAAGUCAGUCUUGCUCUGUUCCCCACACCUCCCUCGUCUCCGUGCUUCCGCGCAUCUGCAGACAAAACAGGACUGUUUCCACAGGCAGGGGCAAGGUGGGACCACGCGGUGCUGUCAGCAAACCUACUAGAACCUUUAGGGAAUUAUUUCAUGAAGAACAAGGAACACUUGAAUUCCUAGGGCCUACUCAAUCCAGAACCAGAGAGCUUUGGAAUUCUUUCCUUUCUGCCUUUCUUUUUCUUUCUUUCUCUCUCUCUCUCUCUCUUUCUUUCUUUCUCUCUCUCUUUUCUUCCUUCCUUCUUCUUCUUUUUUUUUUUUUGCUUUUUUAGGGCUAUACCCACAGCAUAUGGAGGUUCCCAGGCUAGGGGUCGAAUCAGAGCUGCAGCUGCCACAGCCACAGCAACCCAGGACCCAAGCCACAUCUGCGACUUAUGCCACAGCUUGUGGCAUUCCCGGAUCCUUAACCCACUAAGCGAGGCCAGAGAUCGAACCCGUGUCCUCAUGGACACUACUCCCACUGUGGGAACUCCCUGGAACUCUUUUCUUUGUGUGUAUGCCACAGACCCUUCUGACAACAGGGAAGCUCUGGGUGCCUUCUCCGAAUAGUGAUUCUAAAAUGCAUAUAAUAGAACAUCCAGAUUACAAAGGAAAACAGUUACGUUGAACCCUGGUUCUCCCCUGGGGGAGGGGGACCUAGACUUUCAAGGAGCAAAGGAGGGAAACUCUGCAGACCGGGAAACAGUCUUUCCUGAGGCCAUAAUUCCAUGUUUCUGAAAUUGAUUACUUCCAAGGCAGGCCCAGUUGGAGGUUUUACUUUCAAAUAGGUUUGGGCAACUGCGUAGAAGACUGUCUUUGCCUGCCUUGGGCGAGCUCAUGGUUUCCAUUUGUUUUCUCACUAAACUGGGUGCCCAAACUUCUAGAAAACAGCCACAUGGGCUCAGCUGAAUUUUCUACUCUUUAAAUUUCCUUGGCUGUUUCCUGGGUGAGGGAAGAUGAUGAACUGGCCAGGGGGCCCAUGGGACAGUUAAAGGCUGACUUUGAUGAGGUGGUGGGGAGGCUUGGGGUUGGGGGAAUCAGAGAGUGUGGGGUUUUUUUUUGGGGGGGGGUCACUUGUUGCGACUCUAGUUGGGAGUUCAUUGGACAGAGUGCAGCCCAGGAGAGCAGGAUAACUCUUGAUGGGCAUGAAGAGAAGCCUGAGGUUCAGAGGAGACCCAUGCCAUACCCUGAGAGGUAGCAGAGGCUAUGGGUCCUAUGAGAUCAGGUGCCAGUUAUGGAGAAUCUACUGGCAGCCACUUUGCUUUUAUACCCUAUUGUCAUCACGGCGCUAGGUAGGACCUGGGGAUCUGCAUUGUAUCCAUGAGACAGCAGACCCUGAGCACAGCUAAUUCAAGGUCACUCUGCUCCAGCUAGAAGUAGUGGAGCUGAGAUCUGAUUCCACAGACUCCCAGGACCCCAGACCUUUGUUUCCAGUGCCAUAGGCCCCCUUUGGGCACAGAGGCCAUGGGUACGCCUCCUGGAAUCAGGUGACCUGGGUUCAAAUCCCAGCUCCACCCUCGAUGAGCUUGAUGACCUUGACCCCCAGGUUCUUCAUCUGUGAAAUGGAAUGAUUUUAUCACCUUUUUCAAGGACUCUUAGUGAUGAUGAAGGGAUGGUAUUUAAAGCGUCAGAGCCACCCACGCGCCUGACAGGUCUGUGUUCUACAAAUGUUGGCACUGCGGUUAUCAUCAGCCCAGCAGGACAGGGAGGCUGUUAGGGGGUCCCUGGCGUGUGAUGGCUCUUCUGUGCCCUCCUCCAGCUGUCCCAGCCGGCAGGCGUUCAUGAACUUGUUUUUCUGGUACGAAGGUUGCCCUGGUAUUCCGGAGUGACCCAGCAGGGCUGAGGUGGUUAUACAACGCUACGUGCCAGGCCAAGUUCAGCGCUUGCCUUGGCAGCCUGCUGAGCCAGUGCCGCUGUGGAGAGAGCCCCUGGCCUUCCGCCUGCUUUCCUGCUCUGGAAAAGCCUGACCCUUACUCAGAAUCAUCGUCCAGUCCCCAUGGCGCACAGUGGCCUCCCUCACCCACUCCUCCCCUUGAACGAACUUCUCUGGGGAGAUUCUGGGGACUCCCAUGUCCCCAGACAGAUGCUUCUCCUUCGUCUGUCUCUGUCCUACUAACUCUGCCCCCAGUGGUGAUUCGCAGACGUGAGUGGGGUAGAGUAAGGACACACAGGGGUUGGAAGACAAGGGCUGAGCAUCGAACAGCCUGUUUUUUUGUAGGUUUUUUUUUUUUUUACAUUUUCCAGUUUUAAUUUUUUAAUGGGUGUUCUUUUUAUUUUUAUUAAAAAAAUAUUUUUAGGGCCACACCUGUGGCAUAUGGACAUUCCCAGGCUAGGGGUCUAAUCAGAGCUGUAGCCACCAGCCUACACCACAACCUCAGCAACACCAGAUCUGAGCCGUGUCUGUGAUCUAUGCCACAGCUCUUGGCAACACCGGAUCCUUAACCCACUGAGCGAGGCCAGGGAUUGAACCUAAGUCCUCAUGGAUACUAGUUGGGUUUGUGACCCUCUGAGCCACAGUGGGAGCUCCUGAAACCAGCCUUUCACUCUUAGCCUAAGUCACUGGCCUUUGUUUAAUCUUUGCAUCAGAACACUUGGCUCCUAGGAAUCCCCAGGUCUCUGAACCUCACACCCUCCCCCAGGCAGGGGUCUCAGGCCUUCCUCUGGCCAGCGCAACUCACCUCCCCAGGGUCUCUGGUAACUUUUGGGCCGUAUGGUAAAUCCUUUGCUCUCCAUGCCGUCUUCUGUCCCGACUCUGGGACCUUGUUUUUUCUGCUUCUCGAUGUCCAGGCUGCUCCAUCUCUGCUGGUGGACAUGCUGCUCAGUCUUCCCCUUCCUGCCUUAAUUUCCUCCCACAGAGAGCUCUUAUUUCAGGAUCCAGGCCACAUAAAACCUUAAAAAGAGGGUGGCGGGCGAGCUGGAGCCCAAGGCCCGGCACAGAGGCCCUCAGGCAGCAGGGCUGAGCUGUCACUGGCCCUCCUGUUCCUGGGCCUCCCCUGGGUCGAGAUCUCUGAGGCCCUGGCGGGGGUGUGGGGUGUGGGGGUUGUAGACCCCUUAUGCUCCGGGAUGUCUGGAGCAUAGAUGAGACAGCCUGUGGGGGCUGCCCUGACCAUGGCUCCUCUUGGAUUUCUCACAGGCUGGUGAUUUGCUCUGCAGGUUUUCUUUCGUUCUUUCCUUCUUUCUUUUUUUUUAGGGCCGCACCCUCGGUAUAUGGACGUUCCCAGGCUAGGGGUUGAAUGGAGCUGCAGCUGCUGGCCUACACCACAGCUCACAGUAACUCAGGAUCCAAGCUGUGUCUGCGACCUAUGCCACAGCUCAUGGCAAUGCUGGAUCCUUAACCCGUUGAGUGAGGACAGGGAUCAAACCCGCAUCCUCAUGGAUACUAGUCAGUUCCAUUACCGCUGAGCCACAAUGGGAAUCCCCCCCCCCUUUUUAAAUGUUUGUUUGUUUGUUUAUUUUUAGGGCCACAGUCAUGGCAUAUGGAAGUUACCAGACUAGGGGUCGAAUAGGAGCUGCAGCUGCCAGCCACAGCAACACCAGAUCUGAGUUGCCUCUGUGACCUACACUACAGCUCACGGCAACACCAGAUCCUUAACCCACUGAGCAAGGCCAGGGAUUGAACCUGCGUAGUUUGGUUGUUGCUGCUGAGCCACAAUGGGAACUCCCUGCUGUGUUUCUUCUAAACCAGGAAUCAGCAAACUAUGGCUCGCACGCCAAGUCUGGCUCAUCACUUGAUUUUGCCAAUAAAGUUUUAUUGGAACAUGGCUAUGUCCUUCAUUUAUGUAUUGUCUGGGGCUGUUUUUCUGCCACAGUGUUGGAGUAGAGUUACUUGUGAGAGAAAUGUACGGCCUGCAAAAGCCUCAAAUAUACACUACCUGGCUUUUUACCACAAAUCCUUGUGGCUCCUGCUCUGAAUGUCAAGGGCAGCCUGUCCUAAGAGGCCACGGAUUUCAUUUUCAUCCGAUUGCAGGUGCGUGGGCAGUUACCAGCUGAAAACAAGCAGCUAGUAUGUAUUCUCAAUGCCCUCUCUAAGAGAGUUUUCCUUUGAUGCUCUAAUUCCACCGCACUAUUCCGGCGUAGUCAGAACUGAUUUUUCUGUGCCUUUCCACUCUCAUAUGUAAGAUGGUGUUACUUUCAUUUCUUUCCCGUCGUGGCGCAGUGGUUAACGAAUCCGACUAGGAACCAUGAGGUUGCGGGUUCAGUCCCUGCCCUUGCUCAGUAGAUUAACGAUCCGGCGUUGCCGUGAGCUGUGGUGUAGGUUGUAGACGCGGCUCGGAUCCUGCGUUGCUGUGGCUCUGGCGUAGGCCGGUUGCUACAGCUCCAAUUAGACCCCUAGCCUGGGAACCUCCAUAUGCCACGGAAGCGGCCCAAAGAAAUAGCAAAAAG
rnacentral:lncRNA from 1 species